GUGACCUUAUAUUUAUGUUUUCAAAACCAUACCAAAUUCAUAGAAAGACAGCUGAAAGAUCCUGGAACGUCGCGAAUCCUGUGGAAGUCAGCUUCAUGUACUUGACAGAGCCCUAUGACUCCAUACGCUGCUCAGCGAUGGGCGUAUCCGCCACAAGAGGAACAGAGGUGACAGCUGUUGGACCUACUCCUACUACAACAGAAUUAACGUGACCAGGUUUCUGGGCGAAUCCGUAGGCAUAAUCGGUACCGGGGACGCGGAGAAGCCACGCAACACUGCUGAGUAUGAAGUGUCUGCUCUUUUGGACAGAUGUCGGCAGCCAUAAGAAAUCAGCCAAAGGAUGACCAGGCUGCGGGUCCGUUGUCGCCCUCAACGCGUAUUAAGUCCGAGCGCAUGUCCAAGAUUUCCUCUGUGGCGGAUACGGUGCCACGCUCAACAUCACGUUACGUUUGCCUACAGCACCACCACGAAUGUCAGUAAAAUGCUGGCCCAUCAAUCCCAUCAAUGCGCCGCCCUGCUCCACCGCGAUCUGCGACUAGUCCGACUCCAAUUACAAGAGCAAAGAGAUACAGGAGGAGGAGUUGGAGCAUGGCUCCGGCAAGCAUCCCACCGAACACCAAUUUUUUGUAUAGAUUGAUAUUAUUUGGUUGCUCUAGCUCUUAUAAUCUCUGAGCACUAGACGCUCAUAGGGACAGACAGACAGACAUGGCUCUAUCGACUCGCUCAAGAAUUGGUUCUGCCGACCGUGCGCAGUAGAAGAGAAAAAACUUAGUUUCGUCUCUUUUGCGGCUGCGUCGUUAGCACUCUUUUGCUUUCUUCGCUUUGCAUUUGUUGUGUGCUGUGAUUUUGUAAUUAUUAUCAGGAAAACGCAGUGUUUAAAUACUGUACAAAAUAAUUAUAAAUUGUAUAAAAAUUAAAUUUAUGACGGGACAAACCUUCACAACGUAGGAGCAACACUAAUAGAGAGUAAUAUUAAGUAUAGUUGAGUUACACAGUGUAAGGACCUUUAAAAAGUAUAUUAUUUUAUCCAAUAUCUAUAUGCCUGAGGAUAUACAAAUUCUGGACAGAACGAAAAAUUAUGGUACUGAACCAGCAGAUUCCAGAUUUAUUCGACAAGAGAAUGGUUUAUUCGAAAUAGCAGAUACAUGAGAAUUAAAAUAUAAUUUAGGUACAAAGAUAAUGCCCAAGUCAUUAACUUUGUAUAGGCGUUCCAAGGAAAUGUUAUUAAUUGAGAAGUCAGACCUUUGUAAAGGCCAUAUUUUAAAAGACUUAACUGGGAACUAGACAAGAAAUCUAUCUCCUCAAAAGUGCAAGUCCAAUCAUUCCCAGUCAGUAAUAGGUUCAGUUGUGUGGAGGCCCGAAGGAGUCCUUGGCUUUAUGAAAAGGUAGUCUGAGGAAUUUUCUUACCCCUAUACCAUAAACUAAUCUACUUUUCUCUUUUCUGGUUCCUGUAUCUCGUCUCCUCACUACCAAAAAUAUCAAGAUAUGUUUCUGGUACCAUAUGUGUUUACAAUAAAUAGUUCCAUCGUCUUGCCUUUGAUACUUA